GAUGAACGCUAGCGGCAGGCCUAAUACAUGCAAGUCAAGGGGUAGCAAUACACCGGCGGACGGGUGCGUAACGCGUACACAACGUACCUCAGAGCGGGGGAUAGCAUUGGGAAACUGGUGGUAAAACCCCAUGGUGUUGUUGAAUGGCAUCAUUUAACAACUAAAGGUUACACUCUGAGAUCGGUGUGCGUCUGAUUAGCUAGUUGGUGGGGUAACGGCCCACCAAGGCGACGAUCAGUAGGGGGUGUGAGAGCAUGACCCCCCACAUGGGUACUGAGACACGGGACCCAACUCCUACGGGAGGCAGCAGUAAGGAUAUUGGACAAUGGGCGAAAGCCUGAUCAGCCAUGCCGCGUGAAGGAUGAAGGCGCUCAGCGUUGU
rnacentral:rRNA from 1 species